UGUCACUGCUGAAGAGUCAGGACGCUGCCUCAGCAGGACACACAGCUGGAACCCGGGCCCAGGCGGUGAGAUGGCCACCACAGGGGAUGUGGAUACGACACCGAGGUAGCUUGUGACCCGCCUUCUUUCCUUCGCUGGACUUGAAAGCCCCCUUGUGAGGUCGGGAUCUUCUCCAAGGAGAAGGUGACUUGCCGUACAGAUUUCAGACUCGAGACUGCAACGUCAUCUUUUGCCUAAGCUGCCUGCUGCCAGCAUUUUGGAUUUUGCCAGACCCCACAAUCACAUGAGCUCAUUCCUUACUAGAAAUCGCUCUCUCUCUCUCUGUAUCCUAUUGGCUCUCUUUCUCUGAAGAACCCCGCCUGAUGCAGCAGGAAUGUGGGGAAAAGGGCCUCUCAUACACCUGCUGGUGAGGGUGCAAAUUUGGACAACUGCAUCUGGAGGGCCAUCUGGCAGCCUCUACCAAACACUGGGCUUUGUGGUGCUCCAUUUUUACCAUUUCUCUACAGCAUGGCUUGUUAAGAAAAGUCGUGGACAAUUCAAUUGUCCACCAGUCGCCCAACACCUAACGAUCCCAGGUAGAACGCCAGCCAGCAUUUACCCACUGAUUGCCGGGUCAGGAAGCCCUUAGAGAGGGCCACCUCCUAGCAGAUGAGGAGCUGGGGGCUUGCAAUGGGGGUGACCCACCCCAGAAUGCACAGAGCUGGGACUAGGCCGGUACUCCCAGGUAGGCGUGGUCACCCUCGACCUUUGCUUCUUGGGAGCGGUCCUGGCCCCCGCUUUUUGCCAGACUUCUCCGUGGCUCCACCCACCACAUCUGAGGUUCGGCGAAGACAAGCCUUCCCUUGACUAAGAUUGCAGGGAGAGGAACCCGAAGUAAACCCACAGAAAACCCAGCAAGACCCAGUCCAGGCUGGGGUCACCCUGCCCGGGGGAACUUGACACAGUGUUUAUCUUCUCUGGCUUGAAGAGGCUCCACCAAGGCCCAGGCUCCUGGCCUCCCACCCAGGGCCUUGCUUACCUUGACAAAAGGGGCCCAUCAGGAGGCCUGUUCCCGCCAGCUCUAGUUGAAGAGGACCUGUGGGCACCGCCCCCUCCCCCCCCAUGUAUUCGGUGAUUGCUGUUGCAGGACUGGCCCCAGUGGGUGCUGAGUACCUCGUGCCUCUCCCCUCCCCGCUGCCCCGAGGUUCCAGCUGGCCAAUCUGAUAACCCAUUUAGGUUAGUAGGUAUGCCUGGGGCAAGGAGGCUGAGGGGCAAGGAGGCCCAACUGGCUGUCUGACCUGGUCAAGCCACAUAAUCGUAUUGGUGAGCCACGUCCACGAAGUGUCACAGAAUUGCUACAAGGAGCCAGUGAGCUCAUUUAUGUGAAGUCACUUUGUAAACUCUAACGGGCCAGAGAAAGGAGCGCUCGUUGUAGGUGUGUUACGUUUUUACACGUGCACAGAGGCCUCCUGAGGAAAAUAAGGCCUGAUCUGCGUGUUUCUCAAAUAGCUGACCCUGGUAAUGGGCUGAGCUCCCAAGGGAUUCUGAUGCCACACAGGUGGCAGGCAGUGGAGGCACCUGACAGAGCUGGGCCGGGAGGCUGGGAGGAUCGUUUGGAAUGAGGGGUAGCACGGACUUGGCCUGAGUAUGGGGUCAGCCCAAAGUCUCAGGGAAUCUUAAUUUUCAUCCCCAUGCCCUAAGACCAAAGAAGGGGCCCCAGGCAGGAUGGAGUGUAAUGAGUGUGCAGACGCCCCCUCAUUGCUUGGGACAGACAGGCUUGGAGGUGUGAGUCACUCCCAAGGAAGAUCAGAAAAGCACUCUUUAGGGGCGCCUGGGUGGCUCAGUCGGUUGAGCGCCCGACUUCGGCUCAGGUCAUGAUCUCGCGGUUCGUGAGUUCGAGCCCCGCGUCGGGCUCUGUGCUGACAGUUCGGAGCCUGGAGCCCGCUUCGGAUUCUGUGUCUCCCUCCCUCUGCCCCUC